rnacentral:rRNA from 1 species
GACGAAGGAUGCAAGCGUUAUCCGGAUUCAUUGGGUUUAAAGGGAGCGUAGGUGGCCUUAUAAGUCAGUGGUGAAAUCUCGCAGCUUAACUGCGAAAUUGCCAUUGAUACUGUAGGGCUUGAGUACAGUUGCCGUUGGCGGAAUAUGACAUGUAGUGGUGAAAUACAUAGAGAUGUCAUAGAACACCGAUUGCGAAGGCAGCUAACGAAACUGUAACUGACACUGAGGCUCGAAAGCUAGGGGAGCGAACGGG